rnacentral:rRNA from 1 species
UUCCAGACUCCUACGGGAGGCAGCAGUGGGGGAUAUUGCACAAUGGGGGGAACCCUGAUGCAGCGACGCCGCGUGGGUGAAGGAGUGCUUCGGCAUGUAAAGCCCUAUCGGCAGGGAAGAAGCAAGACGGUACCUGACUAAGAAGCCCCGGCCAACUACGUGCCAGCAGCCGCCGUAAUACGUAGGUGGCAAGCGUUGUCCGGAUUUACUGGGUGUAAAGGGCGUGUAGCCGGGCUGACAAGUCAGAUGUGAAAUUCCGGGGCUCAACCCCGGACCUGCAUUUGAAACUGUUGGUCUUGAGUAUCGGAGAGGCAGGCGGAAUUCCUAGUGUAGCGGUGAAAUGCGUAGAUAUACGGAGGAACACCAGUGGCGAAGGCGGAUUGCUGGACAGUAACUGACGCUGAGGCGCGAAAGCGUGGGGAGCAAACAGGAUUAGAUACCCUCGUAU